rnacentral:rRNA from 1 species
AUAGCGUAUAUUAAAGUUGUUGCAGUUAAAAAGCUCGUAGUUGAAGUUCUGGCUGUUUGACCCUCGAGCUCUGUAGCCGAGGGCUCAACAGUCAUCCGCUUGCAAACAUAUGUUCGUCUUUAACCGGACGGCUAUGUGAGUAAGCAAUUUACCUUGAGAAAAACAGAGUGUUCCAGGCAGGUUUGUCCGGAAUGCAUUAGCAUGGAAUAAUAGAAUAUGACUGAAGUCGAUUUAUUGGUUUGAGGCUUUAGUAAUGAUUAAUAGGAACAGUCGGGGGCAUUGGUACUUGACAGUCAGAGGUGAAAUUCUAGGAUUUGUCAAAGACUAACAAAUG